GCGAGAUCCGGUUCCCGGCCCCGGUGGUGCUGGGAAGUAGCGCGCGGAACGGAGCCCUCGCCGCCAUGACUUCCGCGCUGGAGAACUACAUCAACCGUACUGUUGCAGUAAUUACUUCUGAUGGAAGAAUGAUUGUGGGAACCCUCAAAGGUUUUGAUCAGACCAUCAACUUGAUUUUGGAUGAAAGCCAUGAACGAGUGUUCAGUUCUUCACAAGGAGUUGAACAAGUAGUAUUGGGAUUGUACAUUGUUCGAGGAGAUAAUGUGUUCAGAACAGACAGUAACAGCAAACCUGCCUCAACGUUGACAUAGUGGGCAAACAUCUGUAGAAUGGCUAAAAUAGUUCAGGCUCCAGUUUUGGCACCCCUUACUGAAACAGCCAAAAAGUGUUCCAGUUAGCACUAGCUUGGAUGAAGAUGUGCACACUUAUCACUAGAAGUGAGGAAGACAUUUUACAAAGGCCCUGAAUAGCCAUCAGAGGGUUGUUUUUGUGCUGUCAUUGGUGAAAUUGAUGAAGAGACAGAUUCAGCACUUGACUUGGGGAAUAUUCGAGCAGAACCUUUGAACUCAGUAGCACACUGAACAGGAGAAACACAAGGAUGCACAAGGACUUUGUAAACUUUGGCUGUAUAGAACUAUUUAAAAAACAGCAUGAAGAAUUUUUACAAAUUGUUAUAACUUGGUUGGCCCACACUUUAUUUUGUGAAUGUGUUGUAGUUUGAUAUGUAAAUUAAAAUACCUACAUUUUA